rnacentral:sRNA from 1 species
CUUUCUAGCAGGCCGUGGGAGCAGCCUCAGAUCUGGCGGAGUAAGCAGGCCACCAAAAUACCCAGCGUACGUCUGGAAAAACGGUGACUCCCAGACAUGUCCGCCAGACCUGGACAGGCAGGACCAUGCUGGUGAGAACUUGUGGGCUGCAGCUGGAGACUGUCUCUCAGGUGGCUCACGCCUGUAAUCCCAGCACGUGGGGAGGCCAGGGCAGGAUCACUUGAGCUCAGGAGUUUGAGACCAGCCUGGGCAACAUAGUGAGACCCUGGCUCUACUAAAAAUUGAAAAAUGAGCUGGGUGUGGUGGUGCUCACCUUGUAGUCCCAGCUAUGCGGGGGAGACUGAGGUGGGAGGAUCACUUGAGCCUAGGAGUUCCAGGCUGCAGUGAGCUGUGAUGGUGCCACUGCACUCCAGCCUGCACAACAGAGAGAGACCCUACCUUCUCCCACCCAAAGGGAAGGGGGUGUGUCUUGUUUUCACGCCACCCUUCUGCUCUCCCUACAUCGUUCCCCACCAGGCUGCUGGUCAGCGCCUCCCAGGAUGGGAAGCUCAUCAUCUGGGACAGCUACACCACCAACAAGGUCCACGCCAUCCCGCUGCGCUCCUCCUGGGUAAUGACCUGUGCCUACGCGCCCUCAGGGAACUUUGUGGCCUGUGGGGGGUUGGACAACAUCUGCUCCAUCUACAGCCUCAAGACCCGCGAGGGCAACGUCAGGGUCAGCCGGGAGCUGCCUGGCCACACUGGGUACCUGUCGUGUUGCCGCUUCCUGGAUGACAACCAAAUCAUCACCAGCUCUGGGGAUACCACCUGUGCCCUGUGGGACAUUGAGACAGGCCAGCAGACAGUGGGUUUUGCUGGACACAGUGGGGAUGUGAUGUCCCUGUCCCUGGCCCCCGAUGGCCGCACGUUUGUGUCAGGCGCCUGUGAUGCCUCUAUCAAGCUGUGGGACGUGCGGGAUUCCAUGUGCCGACAGACCUUCAUCGGCCAUGAAUCCGACAUCAAUGCAGUGGCUUUCUUCCCCAACGGCUACGCCUUCACCACCGGCUCUGACGACGCCACAUGCCGCCUCUUCGACCUGCGGGCCGAUCAGGAGCUCCUCAUGUACUCCCAUGACAACAUCAUCUGUGGCAUCACCUCUGUUGCCUUCUCACGCAGCGGCCGGCUGCUGCUCGCUGGCUACGACGACUUCAACUGCAACAUCUGGGAUGCCAUGAAGGGCGACCGUGCAGGUGACAGCUGGGGCCCAGGCUGGGUGGGCGGGGACCUGGAGCCCAGGCCCAAUGGGUUCUGACUUCUCCCUUCUUCACAGGAGUCCUCGCUGGCCACGACAACCGCGUGAGCUGCCUCGGGGUCACCGACGAUGGCAUGGCUGUGGCCACGGGCUCCUGGGACUCCUUCCUCAAGAUCUGGAACUAAUGGCCCCACCCCCACUGGGCCCAGGCCGGGAGGGGCCCUGCCCAUGCCCACACUACAGGCCAGGGCUGCGGGGCUGGCGCAAUCCCAGCCCCCUUCCCCGGGCCACGGGGCCUUGGGUCCCUGCCCUCCCACCCAGGUUUGGUUCCUCCCGGGGCCCCCACUGUGGAGAUAAGAAGGGGAUGGAAUGGGGGAAGAGGAGGAGCAGGAGGCCCUCAUCCUUCUGCUGCCCUGGGGUUGGGGCCUCACCCCUCUGGACGGCCAGAGGCAGGAGGUGGAAACCCCAGGGGCUGGCUUUUUUAAAACUGGUUUUAUUUUAAUUUUUAUUAUAUUUUCAGUUUUUCCAUAAAGGAGCCAAUUCCAACUCUG